rnacentral:rRNA from 1 species
GCUUGGAAGCAGCCAUUCAUUUAAAGAGUGCGUAACAGCUCACUAGUCGAGGAGUUUGGCGUGGAUAAUAAUCGGGCAUAAGUGGUUUACCGAAGCUAUGGGAUGUUUAAUACAUCGGUAGGGGAGCAUUCCACUCCGCGUCGAAGGUGAAGCGUGAGCUUUGCUGGAGCGUGUGGAAAAGCAAAUGUAGGUAUAAGUAACGAUAAAGGGGGUGAGAAACCCCCUCGCCGAAAGACUAAGGUUUCCUGAUCAACGCUAAUCGGAUCAGGGUCAGUCGGGUCCUAAGGCUCAGCCGAACGGCGAUGCCGAUGGCAGAAACGGUUAAUAUUCCGUUACUACCUUCAGGAGUGACGUGGAGACGCAGUAGUGACAGUGCCGCCAUCUGACGGAAUAGAUGGUUGAAGGGUGUAGGAGUCGAUCAUGGCAGGCAAAUCCACCAUGAGAUCCGAACCUGACAGUAUGCCGCGUCCUUCGGGACAAGGCAAUAGUGCGCGUAAGCAUGCUGCCGAGAAAAUCCGCUAAACUUAAUCCUGCAGGUACCCGUACCGCAAACGGACACACGUAGUCGGGUUGAAUAUACUAAGGCGCUUGAGUGAUUCACGGUUAAGGAACUAGGCAAACUGACCCUGUAACUUCGGGAUAAAGGGUCCCUACCCUUUUAUGGGAGGGCGCAGAGAAUCGGUCCAGGCAACUGUUUAACAAAAACACAGGGCUGUGCCAAAUCGAAAGAUCCAGUAUACAGCCUGACACCUGCCCGGUGCUGGAAGGUUAAGAGGAGAUGUCAUCGAUAAGAGAAGCGUUGAAUUGAAGCCCCAGUAAACGGCGGCCGUAACUAUAACGGUCCUAAGGUAGCGAAAUUCCUUGUCGGGUAAGUUCCGACCUGCACGAAUGGUGUAAUGAUCUGGACACUGUCUCAACCGUGAGCUCAGUGAAAUUGUAGUAUCGGUGAAGAUGCCGAUUACCCGCGAUGGGACGAAAAGACCCCGUGAACCUUUACUAUAGCUUAUCAUUGAAUCUGGGCACGUGAUGUGUAGGAUAGGUCGGAGGCUUUGAAGCAGGUACGCCAGUAUUUGUGGAGCCGCUGUUGAAAUACGACCCUUUAUUUGUUUGGAUUCUAACCCGUGGAACGGGGACAUUGAUUGGUGGGUAGUUUGACUGGGGUGGUCGCCUCCAAAAGCGUAACGGAGGCUUCUAAAGGUGCCCUCCGGCCGAUUGGUAACCGGCCUUAGAGUGUAAUGGCAUAAGGGCGCUUGACUGGGAGACUGACAAGUCGAUCAGGUAGGAAACUAGAGCAUAGUGAUCCGGUGUUUCCGUAUGGAA